AGUGGUAGAGGAGGUGGAGGGAGGUUCAACCUGUGCUGGUGAAUCAAACCUGUUGAAAAACUGCUUUAACUCAUUAUCACGUUCCACUGUCC